CCUUCCUCCAUCUCGGUCAACAACCUCUCUCUCCUUCACCAUUCCAAUUUCUCUCAACACCCCCAAAUCGAAAACCUCCACCAAGAAAUCCGUCGCUCUCUUCGACCCUCAGGCCGGCGACUACCGCUCACCAACACCGCGUUCGCCGUCGGUCCGCACUCCCUCCUUGACCAUUUCCACAGACAUCUUCGCGUCGUUGAGCUGCUGCUGCUCGCAGACUGACGCGGCAAGUUCCGCCGCCCCGCACAUGCUACCGUUCACUGUUGUUCGGUGGCGCCGCUUCUGCCUUCUCGGUGGUGCGCUGCUGCUCGGGCAGCCGCAAACCACUACUCUACAGCCCCGGUUUGAUAUUCAAACGGAACCGCCCCGAAACCACCCCGCAAGAUAAGUUCUUUACCAAAUUAUGUUCCUUCGUAUUUUCCGAUUAAUCACAGCGGGUGUUCGAUUGUGAUGUUCGUUUGGUGGUGUUCGUUUGAUUGAAAUAUGUUGGUUGUUGAUGCGUGAUGAUAUGGUGUGUAUAACAACGAUCAAAAGGGAAUGGAUUUAUACCUCAACCGAUUGGAAGUUGUGAUGCAAAGCUAUAGAGGCGAGAAGGGAUUAAUCUCUUAGGCUUCUUUGGCUUGGCAGAUUCGGUUUCUUAACUUGGUUGUGGUUGAAACAAAAGGCAGCAAAUUUCUUCACUCUCUCGGCUCUCUCGGCUCUCCCUCUCUCUGUGAAUUUGCUUGAAAAUGGCUGAUGUGAAUAGGGAAGGAGAGGAGAUAAAUGAACAAGGAUUAUUCUAUUAAUUGGGUGACCUUUGAUUUGCAGAAUUGAAUGUGGAAGAUGGAGGGUGGAAGGUCACUUGAAAAAUAGAGAGUCUUAGGAGUGGAAUAGUUGGCGUAGGGGAGAGAGGAAAGGAUUUUGGGCUUGCACAAAAUUUUCUACGAAGAAAUUAGGCCCAAAAGAUAUCUCUUUUAAUUUAAAGUCCAAAGCCAAAUUGUAAAAUAAAGCAUUGGACUUUAUUUAAUUGAGUAGCCCAAAUUUUACUUUUCGUCUGUCUUUUUAUUAAUUAAAGUUCACAGAAAACUUUAAUUAAUUCCAUCGUUCCCAACUCCAACAAAGAAAAUAACGAGAAGCAUAGCUUGACGACAUAAAUUCAUUUUAACUACUUCACGACAGUUUUUAAUUUAGUACUUAAAAAGUACGGGCGUUACAUGUUUGCAUAUCUGAUUACUGAUGGGUUUAAUCAUGAAAAAAUAUGAUGACUGCAUCUUUAGUCUAUGUCGAUAUGGUUGACAAUAAGAUUGUUUAGGAAUACACUAUGUGAUAACAUAUUUGAGCGUUCAUUCGGUUUGUACACAUAUAGUUGGUGUCAUGUGUUGCCCAAGUGGGAGAUUGUUGGAAAUUUGGGCUUCUACAUGACUAAUUUAAUGUGUAUGACUAUCCUUCAGUUGCUCAAUUAAAGUGAUCUAUUAAAGAUUAAAGUUUGGGCUAAAGUGUAUUUAUUUGUUAUGGAAAUAAGUGUAAAUACCAUAUGAGAUUUUCUAUUUGAUGACGGACCGAAUAGAAAAUAAAGGGGUUUGUAUUUAAUAUAAAUAUAAACUAGGGUUAUAGUCUCUAGACGUCAGAAGAACGUUCAAUAUCUUUGUAUUCUCUCGGAAGACUAUUGUGAAGGACGUCUCUGAUCGUUUGGAAGAUCCAUAGCCGCUGCAAAGCAAUUUCGCCUUUCAAUUCUUUAUGGAUCAAGGAAGGGCUACUACAUGAAGAAUGUGCAGUGUGAUACGAUCCCUCAUACGAGUCAGGGACUCCCGGAUGAUGGCACCGUGCAGCCGGCGCUGGAAUACGACACGCGCGUUGCCGGCCACGUCAACGAAGUGCGCGAGACUGCGGAGGAGGACCAGACCUCCGCAGCGGUACGGAGAAUUUGUCUUCAAGUAGUUAGGAGUUAUUUUCUUAAUUUUAUUUUAUGUCCUUGUUGACUUAUAUUUUUGCGCAAGUAAUUGGGUCGAGCCCGUAUAAGUUCCUCUCAGGAUUUUCUUUGUUGGUUCUUUCCUGGACCGUAAGUCGAACCAACCCUAGGGUCCUUAAUUUAUAAAUAGCGUGUGAAAGAGAUUACAAUCAA